AAGCAAGAAUAACAGACUAUGGCAUUGUUCCAGAGAUUUUGACAAUUCACAAACAAAGUUGAUUUUGUGUACUGUCCUUGCUUAAUGGCGUGGCGGUUGCACAACAGGACCCCACCUGAACUUGCAGAAAAGAAGGGCAGAAAUAAUUAGUUGCAAAGUGGGUGAGGAACCUGGUUUGCAUCAGUAAGAAAAUGAUCCAUCAUAGUAUUUCAAGAGACUAGGACAGUUAGGAAGAACAUUAUGUCUAGCCAGCAACUACAGAUAGACAACCCCUACAAGAGCAGUAGAAAGCUAAUAAUUUGAAAACAAAUCCAGACUACGUGCUGUUCGCACAUGGGAGUAGCAGAUCUGUUUCCGAGUAUAGCCAUAUUAUAUAUGUACUAGACAGGCAUGAUUGCCAUAAGGUGACAGAUCUCCAUUAAUAUUACCAGGUAAUCAAGUUUUAUGUAAGUGGGAUCAUGCUUACGACUAUGGAUUCAAAUCCAAACGUUAAUAAGAUGGUUACCACCAGAAAAUGAUGAGUGAACAAAUCCUUAAUAACAUUUAUUUAAAAGUUUAUCUAUGAGUUGAAAUCGAUGAAUAAUAAUUACGAGCAGGAACCUAAUGACUCCAGGCAAUAACUGAUCAGGAACCGUCAAAUCCAAAGGUUGUGUUCAUAUUGAUCAAAUCAAGUCGCCUAUGCAAAUACCGAUUACCAGUCAUGCACCUAUGAUUUUUCUACCCACUAAAUCUUGGCAUGGGACUAAGAUAGUUCAGUUUUGCUCAAGAGUUCAUUGGUUCAUGCCUUCCCUACGGUAUGUUGUUUUUACUUUUAGUCCAGGUUUUUUUUAAGAGAUUCCUGUUAUGUAUGUACUUGUUCUACAUGGUUAGAUAGAUACCCUCAAAAUUCAGGGACAUAUAAGGAGGUCCUCUUAUUAGUUGUAGCUUUUGUGCGCGGUAGUUGCAAUCAUUAGGUAUUAGCUCUAUGUAAGGAGGUCCUCUUGUACUCAUUCGAAUUAAGUAGGGAAUAAACUGAUGUAAUCUCUGCUGUAAAAACAAAACUGAUAUAAUCCCGGUUCUUUUCUCCGAGUCUUCCUCUGCCCCUGAAGCACGGCUUCCAUCAAGGUGCUGUGGUGCCUCUUGCGGUUUAGGUUAGUUAUAUCCUACCACGCACCAUAACACCUCCCCAUAAUAGAUAUAAGGUUUCCCUUAUUAAGCUAACAAAUCUCAAGGAUUGAACAAACAAAGAGAAGUAUUCAGAGAAGGGAUUGGAUAAACCAUAAAGUUUCGUGUACCUGAUAAGAUAGCUGAAGUUGCAAAUUGCCAGUGAAAACAAGGUCGAAUGUCUACAGGACGGAUGAUACAUCAUUGGCAGUGUA
rnacentral:lncRNA from 1 species